rnacentral:lncRNA from 1 species
UUGUUAUCCUUUCGUGUGAUGUGUUUGAGAUUUUGAUUUUGUCAUUUGGUUAGGUACUUUCCGUUUUAAAUUUUCCCCGGAGAACAGUUUUUUUGUAACUUUACUUUUUUGCUAUAGAAAUUCCUUAACUUGACAAUUUGAAUCAUGGUUAUUAUCUACUAAAUUUAUUUCUACAAUUUUACGUAUGUAUGUAAGAUCUAUGGAUAUAAAUCAUUGAUAUUAUUUUUCUUGGAUUUCAAUAUGACUUUAUAUCUUAAAGUUAUUUUAAUACAUAUCAAACAAAUCGAUGUUCUGCAACUUUGAAGUACAAUUUGCCAAUUGUUUUUGACAUUUAAUGAAUGUAAAAUCCGAGUUUCCAGUCGAGAUUACAUAAAAUGUAACAUUUUAUAGCUAGUGGGCAGCUCAGAUUUUCGAGAUGUUUUGGCAUUUUAAAGACAAUACAUUGUUUGGGAAUGGUUAACAGACUUACAUUCUAAUCUUUGUAUGUACGUCUUAUAAAAAUUCGCCUUGAUAAACUAUUGAUUAUUAUCAAAGGAUUUCGAUAAUGCCGAAGAAUAAACUGUUAAUUAAAAAAUUCUUUAUUUUUUUAAGUUUCCUGUUGAAAGACAAUUACAUUUCUUUUCGAAGAUGGAAGCAGCCUCAUAUUUGAGCUUCUUAAACAAAUGCUAGAUAAACGAGGUAGACAAUACCAAUUCAAGAAUUGAUAUGAAAGAAUAAGGAUGCCAACGACACUCGAGUAUCAAUCGGUAGUAUCCAUUAUCGGAUAAAUCGGUUUCAUGUUAGAAUGCUGUUGGCUUAUAUUUAUUAAAACGAUUUUUGAAUGCCUUCAUGGAAAUGAAAGAAUUAUCUUUGAUUAUUGAAAAUUGAAAUACGUUCGAAUGUUAACGCUGAAUAUUGUCCUUUAAAAUACAUCCGAAUUGAGAUGGGCAUUGCGCUAGAGCAGCCUCCAUACAAUGAACGUGUCUUGACAUUUCCGCAACAUAAGAGCAAACGUCUUCAUCCGAUAAGACACAAAUCGACUCUGUACAGAGAAACGUUAACAGGGUAAUAUUUCGAACUUUGAACAGAAUCAAUGCACCGAGUAGUCACCCUCAGAGUUAAACGCAGCAGUAAGGCGAGGUCUAUUCAUCACACCUUUGUUAAUCAUUCAAUGUGUUUUUAUGAUAACCAAAUACUGUUAAUUGAUCUUGUUUGGCCCUAUAAUUGUUUUUUAAAAGGUGUUAAUUGCAUUAUUGAUAAGAUUACUGUUUACAUAAUCAGUACAUUUAGUGAAUGAGCUUUCAAUUAUGGUAUACUAUACCAGGUACUACAGUCCUAGAUAAUAGUGUUGAGCGUUGUUUGUCCUUUACACAUCAACAAACAAUGUCAUAUGUGUAAAAUUCGUGUUUUCAUUUAUUUCUUUUUUAUAUUUUUGUCGCUUGGUAUGUAAUUAAUAUUUCUCGACUGAGUUGACAUUCCUAGAAACAAAUAUUAGUUUUGGAAAGGAUGAUUAUUAAAGGCAAUACGAGAUCAUAAAUAUAACCGACAUUUCUUUUUAAUUAUUAGUAUUGAAAAUUAUAAAACUGCAAAAUUAAUGUUUUCUGCUUAUAAUUAGUGUUAUUUCUUUCUUAAUCUUUUGUGUAAAUUAGGUAAAAUGUGAUGGCGAGAGUAUUCUGUAAAAAAAUAUAAUAUAUUACCACCCAAAGGAGAUGAAGAGGGGUAUUACCAUUUCUAUCAGCUUUGUGUUUAGCAGGACCAAUAAACCGUUUUGGCAUUUAUUUUAAUGAAAACAAAUCAUGUCAGGCUUACAUUUCAUGGUGGGAGCAAGCAGAUGUUCAUAAUCUCCCUAUGUCGUGUUCUCCUUUUUUUUAAAAACUUACCGGAAGUCAGUAAAAUGUGUAGAUCAUAUGUGUUGGUGGCAAGCGUACAAUCUUUAUCAAAAGCCUUCCAACACAAAGUAAAGUGAAAGUAAAUUAACUAGAACUUACCAUCGGCGCGAAUACUGAGAGUACUCCAACACAAUAACAGGCGGCUAUUUGAU